GAGAGCCAAGAGAUCCGUUGUUGAAAGUUUUUAUUUGUUAUAAAAAUUUUACAUUCAUAGACUAGUGUUUAUAAAGUGAAAUGGCUCACAAUCGCGAAAAUUGCUCGCCAUUAAUACAGAUGCGCAGGGUUAGAUGUGAGAAGGUCGGGUUCCAAGUUARAUUGGACACCCUAUUUAUUCACUAAUGAUCCUU
rnacentral:misc_RNA from 1 species